CCUACGGGAGGCUGCAGUGGGGAAUAUUGCACAAUGGGGGGAACCCUGAUGCAGCGACGCCGCGUGAGUGAAGAAGUAUUUCGGUAUGUAAAGCUCUGUCAGCAGGGAAGAAGAAAGACGGUACCUGACCAAGAAGCCCCGGCUAACUACGUGCCAGCAGCCGCGGUAAUACGUAGGGGGCAAGCGUUAUCCGGAUUUACUGGGUGUAAAGGGAGCGUAGACGGCAGGGCAAGUCUGGAGUGAAAGGCAGGGGCCCAACCCCUGGACUGCUCUGGAAACUGUCCGGCUGGAGUGCAGGUGCGGUAAGUGGAAUUCCUAGUGUAGCGGUGAAAUGCGUAGAUAUUAGAGGGAACACCGAUUGCGAAGGCAGCAUACCGGCGCGCAACUGACGCUCAUGCACGAAAGCGUGGGUAUCGAACAGGAUUAGAUACCCUUGUAGUC
rnacentral:rRNA from 1 species